UUGUAUUUUUUCUGUCUCUUCCUCUGAUAUUCACCUAUUGUUAGCAAAACUCGAUGGUUAUUCAGUAGGAAAAGAAAUCUGAUAAAGAAAUGAAGAGAUCGACAGAACUGCAACAGCAAAAAAAAUGGAUAUUCAAGCACAAAAAAAACUGAUGAAGAAAUGAAGAAAUUGGUAGAACGACAAUAGAGGGUAAAAGCGAAGUUUCAUAUGAAAAGCCUUCAGCUGAUGAACAC